rnacentral:rRNA from 1 species
GAUCCUGGCUCAGGAUGAACGCUAGCUACAGGCUUAACACAUGCAAGUCGAGGGGCAGCAUGAACUUAGCUUGCUAAGUUUGAUGGCGACCGGCGCACGGGUGAGUAACACGUAUCCAACCUGCCGAUGACUCGGGGGAUAGCCUUUCGAAAGAAAGAUUAAUACCCGAUGGCAUAAUUCUUCCGCAUGGUAGAACUAUUAAAGGAUUUCGGUCAUCGAUGGGGAUGCGUUCCAUUAGGUUUGG